rnacentral:lncRNA from 1 species
CAUAAUCAAAAUGUUGGAGCUUAUCAGGCUGUAUUCAUCCACUCAGUAAACUGCCAUAUCUUGCUGGUGCUUUUGCAAUCAACAAAAGAACAAUUGGAAAAACACUGCUUGGAAAGGGCGAAACAUUUGCCAGGUCUUUUCAAGAAGAAGAGGGCUGACGUCCUGACAUAGCAGAAAACCUUGGGACGCUGCCAGCACUUGGCAUGUGUAUGGCAGAGCUGAUCAGCCCCAGCACCACCAGCCAGGCAGCAUCAUCCUCAGCUGCCUGGCUCGGAAAGAGCAGCUACUCAGGCAGGCUGGGACAGGAACUCCCCAGUCUCUCUGGAAUGGAGAGACAGCCAACUAACACUGUGUCAACUGAAGGCUGACCAGGUAGACUCUCUGAACUUCUGGACAGCAGCACAAGCAAGCAUUUGACUACUCAACACCAGAGCUCUAGAGAUGGGAUUUCAAACAGUCCUGAAGAUUUUUAUGGGAUCUCCUGAUUUGAAGAUCCAUCCAAAGGCAAAAUCUGUGUGUAUUGCUGUGUUGAUUGGCACCACAGACGGUGGAGGAGGACCUGGUGGUGGAGGACUUGACCAUACAUAAAUCCUUUGUGUCAUUUCUGCUGCGAAACAGACAAAAGUGAUAGACAAGAUGUCAGUAUAAACUGUUCCUGCAGAUGCAGGAACAGUCACACAAGGCAGUCUUGCCAUAUUGUUUAGAUAGUUAGGUGUUUUGCAUGUCGUACAAGGGAUGAUGGAUCCUGCCUGUGUAGGAAUGGUAACAUAGGAGCAUUGGGUAUGAAAAUUAACAUUGCAGAUAACACAAUUGUGAACACUAUACUGUUUUAUCAGCUUUUUAAAAGGUUGGUUUAAAGUGGUUUAAAGUCUGUAAUUUUUGAGGCACGCACCACCUCCUAAAAACUGCUUUGAAGGCUCUGGUUAUUUCAGAACCCCUUUUGACUUCUAGACCAAUGGCUCAGUCAGGC